AAGACACUCAAACUUUGGAACCAAAAAUAUCAAAGUUUUCAUCCCAGAUCUUCCAUUUACUCCCCCACAGAUCCAGAGAACCAGGUUGGAUCGAAUUUGAUUCUGGAGAGAUGUUCAUGCAGUGAACUUGCAUCUAGAGCCCAGUGGGCCGGAAUCUGACAAGAUUUCCUUUCCUGCUACACAAAGGACAGAGAGAUUGCUGAGUUGAGCCCUGAAAACAAGGACUUUGUUUUAUAUGGUUACCACAUGGUCCCUUCCUCUCUCUUUGGAAUUUGACAAGCAAAUUGGCAUUUGUGUUGCUGAGACUGUCAUAGAAUAGUGAUUGUUAAUUAUACCCUAGAUGUCCUGCCUCAUUCUGCCAUGGAUGUAUUGUGCUAAAUGUGUGCAGUGAGCAAAAGAUCUUAAAUUUGAUUUCAAGUUGCAUAUCUCAGCAUGCUGCCGGACCCGCCUCCGGUCAGAGAGCACCUUAAGGGGCCUUUUGAGAGUCCUCCUGCUCCCAAAUCCCUGGUUCUAACUUAGAUCAGGAAGUAUUCAAAGGAUCCAGCAGAUGUCAGUAUGAAAUCUUGAGUUUCUCCAGGUUGGGUAUUAACAGAUCAAACUGCAUCACCCACUGCCCUGUCUCUCAGCUGGAUAUAGGAGGAGCAUUAGAUUCAGAGACAAUAUCUUCUGUAAAGAUCUACUCCUCUAAUUGUUUAAAUUCUGACCUUACAUCGCAACCUCAAAGCUGGAUUAGUGAUGCAGUCACAAUUAUAAAGAAACUUCAAGAGAAGAGACAAGUGAAUAAGGUGGCUGUUUCUAAAAAUAAGUCCGUCUAUGCCAGCUAUCUGCUUUCCCCUGUGCAACUGGUCUGUAUUGAUUCUCAGUGUCUGCAGUCUCCGACCCAGCAGGCUUUUCCUUCAUAACCGAAGAUGGGCAGGGCUUUCGAUCAAUGACAACUUUGGAAUCAACAACCAGAGACAGCACUGCUAUGCUGGUCUUAGGCCUCAGCAGUCUCCAUCGUUAAGGAAGUUUCUGGCAGCAAGAGGAGAGCCACUCAACUUUUGGAAAAUAUCACUAAACAACAAAGAGGAGGAAGGAAGAGAAGGAAAGAAGAAAAGGAAGACAUUUGAAUUGAUGAAUUAGUUUUGAAAUUCAAGUUUGGUUUGAGAGGGCUCUAGGAUGACAGCUAAAUGUCCCAAGCUAAAAAGGUAGACACCUAGGAGGAAAGCAGAGGCCGGAGACCAGGUGUGUGACCCCCUCCUGGCUUUCUCCUAGACUGGCCUUUGGGAAGGAGAUCGAGCCCACUGUCCUAUGAUCAUGAGUCACAGUGAGCAGCCAGCCUUGCAAAGCAUGUUCACAAUUAACCAGGAAGCUGCAGAAAGGCUGCCAGACCCUCCUGCAACUGAACAGCUGCAGCCUCAUCUGCUCGUUGGGGGUCUCCCCUGUCCAGGAUUUUAGCCAUAGGCUGAGCUGAGAUUCAGCAAAAUGAAGGAAAUCUCCAUCUUAAAGAUGGAAGAUACGUCAUGCCUGAGGUGGGCUCAUGUGGCCAACCAAGGGGAGGAGAGGAGGGUUCAGCAGUGUAUCCAAGUGCCCCACAGGGCUGUCAAACUCAGGUGCCAAGAGACAGACAAGGAAGUGGCCAUCCUGAGCUAAUUCACAGAGAAAAUGAAAACAACCACUGGUCACUUGACUCAGCUCCCAGCAUGCAUGAAGUGACGGGGAACCUUCCUGAGGAGCGAUCCUGAAGAAAGAGAUGUUGACGGAAUUGCCCAGGGCCACUCUCUUCCUCUCUGAUGGUGUGACAUCCGAAUAUGAGCGCCUUCUGCUUUGUCAUACCUCCACCUUUAUUACUCUCUUAAGGACCCCAAUUGGACAGCUCCAUGUCACUCCCAAACACUGUGCCCUUGAAGAAACUGCUUGGAAAAUCAAAUGGGAUUUGUCUUCUGGAGGUGAGAAAUGAGGUUGGAUAUGGAAUAUUAAGGAAAGACCUCCACUUUCCUUGCCUACUACUGGGGCCUUUAAAACAUCUUGGGCAAAAUUUGGAAAUUCUCUCUGAGGAUGUCCAUACAAAAGUGUCAACCUGAGAUGAGGCAGUGAAUGUCCUCAGAUGGGUCACGUGAUGCAUUUCUCAAGCCAAAUCAUUUCAAUGGAACGCCCCAGAUAGACUUUUAAAUUGAGAAGUACUUUAGAUG